GUCCACGCCGUAAACGAUGUCAACUAGCCGUUGGAGAUCUUAGUAUCUUUAGUGGCGUAGCUAACGCGCUAAGUUGACCGCCUGGGGAGUACGGUCGCAAGAUUAAAACUCAAAUGAAUUGACGGGGGCCCGCACAAGCGGUGGAGCAUGUGGUUUAAUUCGACGCAACGCGAAGAACCUUACCUGGUCUUGACAUCCUACGAACUUUCCAGAGAUGGAUUGGUGCCUUCGGGAACGUAGUGACAGGUGCUGCAUGGCU
rnacentral:rRNA from 1 species